CACGUAGGGUGCGAGCGUUGUCCGGAAUUAUUGGGCGUAAAGAGCUCGUAGGCGGUGUGUCGCGUCGGCCGUGAAAACCUGGGGCUUAACUCUGGGCUUGCGGUCGAUACGGGCAUCACUGGAGUUCGGCAGGGGAGACUGGAAUUCCUGGUGUAGCGGUGAAAUGCGCAGAUAUCAGGGGGAACACCGGUGGCGAAGGCGGGUCUCUGGGCCGGAUACUGACGCUGAGGAGCGAAAGCGUGGGGAGCGAACAGG
rnacentral:rRNA from 1 species